rnacentral:lncRNA from 1 species
AAGGAUCUUGGCACAAAUCUCUUUCUGAAAUUGGCGGCGGAUCUUCUAACCGAGGUCCACUUGGCCUCGACCUCGGGGGCGAGGUGCUUCGGUCAGGUUAGUAGUAGGGAUCACCUGUACUUCGCAACAUGCUACUAGGUUGCAGACAUUGCUGAUAUCGCUUCGGAAACAGUUCGGACGGAUCUUUAUCAGGUCGGAAUAUAUGGUGGUGGUUCCCAGGUGUAUCAGAUAGGGGCAUAACAGUGGUCCCCUAAGUCCAGGUAUGAAUAUUUAUAUCAUGGGUGGACUUGCUUUCCUGACUGGAUGUAUAUGUCUAGGUACUGG